UAGGGAAUCUUCCGCAAUGGACGCAAGUCUGACGGAGCAACGCCGCGUGAGUGAAGAAGGAUUUCGGUUCGUAAAACUCUGUUGUUAGAGAAGAACAGCGCAUAGAGUAACUGUUAUGCGUGUGACGGUAUCUAACCAGAAAGCCACGGCUAACUACGUGCCAGCAGCCGCGGUAAUACGUAGGUGGCAAGCGUUGUCCGGAUUUAUUGGGCGUAAAGCGAGCGCAGGCGGUCAAUUAAGUCUGAUGUGAAAGCACCCGGCUCAACCGGGGAGGGUCAUUGGAAACUGGUUGACUUGAGUGCAGAAGAGGAGAGUGGAAUUCCAUGUGUAGCGGUGAAAUGCGUAGAUAUAUGGAGGAACACCAGUGGCGAAGGCGACUAUCUGGUCUGUAACUGACGCUGAGGCUCGAAAGCGUAGGUAGCAAACAGG
rnacentral:rRNA from 1 species